GAUGAACGCUAGCUACAGGCUUAACACAUGCAAGUCGAGGGGUAACGAGAGGAAAGCUUGCUUUCCUUGUCGACGACCGGCGCACGGGUGAGUAACGCGUAUCCAACCUGCCCCCAACUAGGGAAUAACCUUGCGAAAGUAAGACUAAUACCCUAUAAUUUCCUCAGAUGUCAUCUGACGAGGAAUAAAGAUUUAUCGGUUGUGGAUGGGGAUGCGUCUGAUUAGCUUGUUGGCGGGGUAACGGCCCACCAAGGCAACGAUCAGUAGGGGUUCUGAGAGGAAGGUCCCCCACAUUGGAACUGAGACACGGUCCAAACGCCUACGGGAGGCAGCAGUGAGGAAUAUUGGUCAAUGGGCGGAAGCCUGAACCAGCCAAGUAGCGUGCAGGAUGACGGCCCUAUGGGUUGUAAACUGCUUUUAUACAGGAAUAAAGUUAGCCACGUGUGGUUAUUCGUAGGUACUGUAUGAAUAAGGACCGGCUAAUUCCGUGCCAGCCGCCGCUGUAA
rnacentral:rRNA from 1 species